AAAAAGGCAAACCCUAGGUUUCCGUGUCCAACUUUGACUGUCCGUCUUAUAUAAAAAAAAUUAUAAUUCGUAUUUUUAUUGUUGUUAGAUGAUAAAACAUGAUUAAUAUUUUAUGCGUGACUUGUAUUUUGACGGUCAAACGUUGGGCACGGAAACCAGGGUUUCUCUUUUU
rfam:Oryza rufipogon genomic scaffold, chr03